rnacentral:rRNA from 1 species
GAUUCUGGCUCAGGAUGAAUGCUGGCGGCAUGCCUAAUACAUGCAAGUCGAGCGGUAACAUGAAUAGCUUGCUAUUGAUGACGAGCGGCGGACGGCUGAGUAACGCGUGGGAGCAUACCCCAGACUGAGGGAUAACUACUCGAAAGAGUAGCUAAUACCGCAUACGAUCUACGGAUUAAAGCUUUCGGGCGGUUUGGGAAUGGCCUGCGUACGAUUAGAUAGUUGGUGAGGUAAUGGCUCACCAAGUCGACGAUCGUUAGAUGGUUUGAGAGGAUGAUCAUCCGGACUGGGACUGAGACACGGCCCAGACUCCUACGGGAGGCAGCAGUAGGGAAUCUUUCACAAUGGGCGAAAGCCUGAUGGAGCAAUGCCGCGUGCAGGACGAAGGCCUUCGGGUUGUAAACUGCUUUUAUAAGCGAGGAAUAUGACGGUAACUUAUGAAUAAGGAUCGGCUAACUACGUGCCAGCCGCCGC